UACGAAGGGGGCUAGCGUUGCUCGGAAUCACUGGGCGUAAAGCGCACGUAGGCGGCUUCUUAAGUCAGGGGUGAAAUCCUGGAGCUCAACUCCAGAACUGCCUUUGAUACUGAGGAGCUUGAGUCCGGGAGAGGUGAGUGGAACUGCGAGUGUAGAGGUGAAAUUCGUAGAUAUUCGCAAGAACACCAGUGGCGAAGGCGGCUCACUGGCCCGGUACUGACGCUGAGGUGCGAAAGCGUGGGGAGCAAGCAGG
rnacentral:rRNA from 1 species